CUCUAUCCAUCUCCAUGGCAGUUCCGCAGGUCGCCUGGUGGGGCAGUGCAGUCCUUCUCAAUAUCCUUUGUCUUCGGCAUGGCCUCUGGUCUCACAAAUAAGAGCAUAUUUGCAGUCGUGCUUGAAGCUUGCCGCCAAGAUAACAACUUCCAGGAAAACAAUGAUAACGAUGUCAGCAUCUCCAUCGGAGGUAAAACCUCGGCGAAAUCUCCUGCUGGUUUCUAUGAUGGCAAGAGUGGUAUUUUCAACAUCUUGCUCCUAGUUAGUCACGACAUCAUGCAAAUGUGGGUGGAGUAUGAUGCCGCGGCCACACGGAUCAACGUGGCCUUGGCUCCCCUCGAGGUAGUUAAACCGUCGAGGCCAUUGCUAUCACUUUCCCACAACAUCUCAACAGUGCUGGGGGAUCCAGCAUAUAUUGGCUUCUCGGCUUCAACUAGUAUAAUCAGCUUGAGAUAUAGUGUGCUUGGCUGGAGCUUUGGUAUGAACCGUCCUGCUCCAAGCAUAGACAUCGCCAAGUUGCCGAAGUUGCCUCGGGUUGACCCAAAAGCUCAAUCCAAACUGUUGAAGAUCAUACUGCCGAUAGCCAUGGUCACACUUGUCCUGCUUGUGGGAACAACAGUUAUUCUAUUUGUGAGGAGGAGAAUAAGGUACGCUGAACUAUAUGAAGAUUGGGAGCAUGAGUUUGGGCCACACCGCUUCUCCUACAAGGAUCUGUUCCUAGCUACAGAAGGAUUUCAUAAUAAGAAUCUGCUUGGCCGUGGAGGAUUCGGGAAGGUGUAUAAAAGUGUGCUUCCAGUCUCUAAGCUGCAGGUUGCUGUGAAGAGGGUGUCCCACGAGUCGAAGCAAGGAAUCAAGGAGUUCAUCGCCGAGGUUGUCAGCAUAGGCCGCCUCCGACACCGCAACCUUGUCCAGUUGCUCGGUUAUUGCAGGAGGAAAGAUGAACUCUCGUUGGUGUAUGAAUAUAUGCCAAACGGUAGUCUUGAAAAGUAUUUGUAUGUUGAAGCAGACAAGACCACACUGGAUUGGGCGCAGAGGCUUCAGAUCAUCAAAGGUGUUGCAUCUGCCAUAUUCUACCUCCAUGAGAAAUGGGAGAAAGUUGUCAUCCACCGAGACAUCAAAGCAAGCAAUGUUCUUCUUAACGAUGAAAUGAAUGGACAUCUAGGUGACUUUGGCCUUGCAAGAUUGUAUGACCGUGGCACCAACCUACAAACAACACGUGUGGCUGGUACCUUUGGAUAUAUAGCCCCAGAGCUAGCACGCACCGGUAAAGCAUCCCCUCUAACAGAUGUGUACGCAUUUGGCAUUUUCGUUCUUGAGGUAACCUGUGGGAAAAGGCCAAUCAACAAUUGUUCACAGGAUGGUCCAAAGCUGCUAGACGACUGGGUUGUCGAGCAUUGGCAGAGAGGAUCACUAACAGACACAACGGACAGGAGGAUACAAGGAGAGUAUGAUGCUGAUGAGGUACAUCUCGUGUUACAGCUAGGACUGUUGUGUGCACAUCCAUUUUGCAGCACAAGGCCCAGCAUGCGGCAGGUCAUGCAAUACCUUGACGGUGACAUGCCGCUCCCCGAGCUGCCACCCACAAACUUAAGUUAUAGCAUGUUGGCCCUAACGCAGAAUGAAGGUUUCGAUCAAUACACGGCAUUGCCUUGCACAGUCGGCAGCAAUGGCAUGACGUUUAGCCUCUUCAGUGGAAGAUGGUCCACUUAG
rnacentral:rRNA from 1 species